GAGAAAAAGAGACGAAGAGGAAAAAAAGACAAAAAAAGGGUGGCAUCAGUAGUGGGUUAAUGGUUCAAUGGAUUAUAUACUUUUUUAUUUACUUAUAUCUCUAUAUAUCC
rnacentral:ribozyme from 12 species